GAAGAUGUGGCUCAGUGGUAGAGCACUUGCCUGGCACGCUUGAUGCCCAGGGUUAGAUCCCCAGCACCACUA
rnacentral:tRNA from 1 species